UACGUAGGGGGCAAGCGUUGUCCGGAUUUAUUGGGCGUAAAGAGCGUGUAGGCGGCCAUACAGGUCAGCUGUGAAAACUCGAGGCUCAACCUCGAGACGUCGGUUGAAACCGUAUGGCUAGAGUCCGGAAGAGGAGAGUGGAAUUCCCGGUGUAGCGGUGAAAUGCGCAGAUAUCGGGAAGAACACCCGUGGCGAAGGCGGGCUCUCUGGGACGGUACUGACGCUGAGACGCGAAAGCGUGGGGAGCGAACAGG
rnacentral:rRNA from 1 species